AACGAACGCUGGCGGCAUGCCUAACACAUGCAAGUCGAACGAGACCUUCGGGUCUAGUGGCGCACGGGUGCGUAACGCGUGGGAACCUGCCCUUAGGUUCGGAAUAACUCCCCGAAAGGGGUGCUAAUACCGGAUAAUGUCUUCGGACCAAAGAUUUAUCGCCUUUGGAUGGGCCCGCGUUGGAUUAGCUAGUUGGUAGGGUAAAAGCCUACCAAGGCGACGAUCCAUAGCUGGUCUGAGAGGAUGAUCAGCCACACUGGGACUGAGACACGGCCCAGACUCCUACGGGAGGCAGCAGUGGGGAAUAUUAGACAAUGGGCGAAAGCCUGAUCCAGCAAUGCCGCGUGAGUGAUGAAGGCCUUAGGGUUGUAAAGCUCUGUUAGCCGGGAUGAUAAUGACAGUACCGGGAGAAUAAGCUCCGGCUAACUCCGUG
rnacentral:rRNA from 1 species